rnacentral:rRNA from 1 species
UACGUAGGGUGCAAGCGUUGUCCGGAAUACUGGGCGUAAAGCGUGCGCAGGCGGUUUUGUAAGUCUGUCGUGAAAGCCCCCGGGCUCAACCUGGGAAUUGCGAUGGAGACUGCAAGGCUUGAAUCUGGCAGAGGGGGGUAGAAUUCCACGUGUAGCAGUGAAAUGCGUAGAGAUGUGGAGGAACACCGAUGGCGAAGGCAGCCCCCUGGGUCAAGAUUGACGCUCAUGCACGAAAGCGUGGGGAGCAAACAGG